AGUGAACGCUGGCGGUAGGCCUAACACAUGCAAGUCGAACGGCAGCACAGUAAGAGCUUGUUCUUACGGGUGGCGAGUGGCGGACGGGUGAGGAAUACAUCGGAAUCUACUUUUUCGUGGGGGACAACGUAGGGAAACUUACGCUAAUACCGCAUACGACCUACGGGUGAAAGCAGGGGAUCUUCGGACCUUGCGCGUUUGGAUGAGCCGAUGUCGGAUUAGCUAGUUGGCGGGGUAAAGGCCCACCAAGGCGACGAUCCGUAGCUGGUCUGAGAGGAUGAUCAGCCACACUGGAACUGAGACACGGUCCAGACUCCUACGGGAGGCAGCAGUGGGGAAUAUUGGACAAUGGGCGCAAGCCUGAUCCAGCCAUACCGCGUGGGUGAAGAAGGCCUUCGGGUUGUAAAACCCUUUUGUUGGGAAAGAAAAGCAGCAGGUUAAUACCCCGCUGUUCUGACGGUACCCAAAGAAUAAGCACCGGCUAACUUCGUG
rnacentral:rRNA from 1 species